GAGUUUGAUCAUGGCUCAGAUUGAACGCUGGCGGCAGGCUUAACACAUGCAAGUCGAGCGGGCGAGGUUGCUUCGGUAACUGAGCUAGCGGCGGACGGGUGAGUAAUGCUUAGGAAUCUGCCUAUUAGUGGGGGACAACAUUCCGAAAGGAAUGCUAAUACCGCAUACGCCCUACGGGGGAAAGCAGGGGAUCUUCGGACCUUGCGCUAAUAGAUGAGCCUAAGUCAGAUUAGCUAGUUGGUGGGGUAAAGGCCUACCAAGGCGACGAUCUGUAGCGGGUCUGAGAGGAUGAUCCGCCACACUGGGACUGAGACACGGCCCAGACUCCUACGGGAGGCAGCAGUGGGGAAUAUUGGACAAUGGGCGCAAGCCUGAUCCAGCCAUGCCGCGUGUGUGAAGAAGGCCUUUUGGUUGUAAAGCACUUUAAGCGAGGAGGAGGCUACUUGGAUUAAUACUCUAGGAUAGUGGACGUUACUCGCAGAAUAAGCACCGGCUAACUCUGUGCCAGCAGCCGCGGUAAUACAGAGG
rnacentral:rRNA from 1 species